UGGAAAGGCGGUUGGAGCGCGGGUGCCUCCCCGCGGGUCUCCUCGGGCGGCCACGCCGCGCCCCCUCCGCCCGGACCCGGGACCGGGACGCGCAGGGCGGUGCCUGCCCCCGUGGUGGGUGUUUAGAGCCCGCGGGAAGUAAACCUCGGCUGUUUAAGUUACUGAGCCGGGAGGGUUUUGUCACCUGAGCGGACCUUUGUCACCUCUGAUGUAAGAGGAGGAGACCCCGGGGACCUUCUCAUCGGGCUACUUUGGAGACCCCGGGACCUCGGACCUCGCAGGCGGCCCUUGCUCUCGCUCUGCCUCUGCCCUUGACCCCCGGUCUCUCCCCCGGGUAGCCAGGCGCUUUUACCCGCUGGCGCGCGUUGGGCGGGAGGACGGUCCGCUGCAGGAGCCCGGGGCUCUGAGCCGAGGCUGGGCUCUGACGCCUGCGCUUGGCUCCCUCCUGCCAGGCGCCCCCCGGAUCCAGACGCCCCUGUCCCCGCGCGGGCUCCCCUGCCCUCCUGAGCCGGAGCUCUGGUCAGGGCCACACACUAGAAUGGUACCUUUCCAGUCUUGUCCCACUACAGUUUACCUGUCACGGAAUUACGGAAGUUAUAGUUAAGGAAAGGAGAUGAUAGUUGUGAAGGGGAAUGUUAACCGCUUUACCAAGCAUGUGCGAUGGGUGCAGCGGCCUGGAGCCAAGAGGUUUGAGGGCAGGGGCCAGGGCGGUAGAUGAUGCCAUGGGGUGGCCACUUCCACAGAGUGCUCUUUGCCCUGUUCCUGGGCUGUAUGUAAGGAGGCACUUUCUCAAUACCCUGAGCUGGUCGUGACUAUAGCCAGUGUCCCGCAGCUCCUCCUGUCCAGCGUUAGCUGUGGUGGGAAAUGCUCAGACCCACCCAGCCUUGAUCUGCCAUCGUUGUGCUUAGGUGCCCGCCGGUCCAAGCACAUACCUUCCUGAGCACGUCUCCAGUCUUCCUCUCCUCUACUGCUCUUCUCUGUAUUUGACCCAGAAGACAUAGGUCUUGACGGAGGUGGCAGGUAAGGACUAGUGGAAAGCGCCCGCUCGUAUCAGCUACAUUUGUUUAGCUAAUUAUGGAAAAUUACAGGCUGACUCUACAGGUGUAACUUCCAGUUCAGAAUUGUCAAAAGAUUUAUGUUUCCGGUGUCAAUUCUGUAGAAAAUAGUAUCUCAGGGUUCAGUUAGAAAACAGGUAGUGGGUGAAAAUGCCAAGCCUUGCAGUUGUUGCAAUCCUGUUACUGUACAAUUUGGCAUAGUCUGGCCAUCCUAUUAAUUCGCACCAAAUGGGACAUUAAGGAGAAAAUGAGUGUAGAAUAUCCCAUUUCAAUUUCUGUUUAGAAGUUCAGAUAUCCUACUGCCAAUGAGAGACCAAUGUUAUUUCCACAGAACAGAUUCCUUUGUUCUUAGAUACACGUAUGCAGAAUUAUAUGUUGAUCAGUAUUAUUAAGUACUUAGAGUUUUUCAACUCUUGUCAUAAAUUAAGGCUGAAAAAAAAUAUAUGAUUAGAGAACAUUGUUAAAAUGUGGGUUUAUGUCAAGACUGUGUGGUUCAUUGGGGAAGAGUUAACCCAGUUACCCAGCUGGUCACAUUCCCCCCUAUAGCUUCAUGUGCCUCCCUUUCCAGUGUAUGCUCUCAGGUGAACAGGAAGAAGAGGGGUACCUCCCAGAAAAAAGAAGGUUCAUUUCCAGUUAAAAGAAAGGAGUUAAAAAAAGAAGCACAGGAGGAGUGGAUGGGCUUGUCUGCUCAACCACCAGAUGAGACAGUUACUUGUUUCUCCAUAAUUACUGGGAAUAUCUAUGACCCCAGCAUUUUAAAGGACACACUGGGGGUGAGACUCUGCCCUCAAGGACUCGUCUUCCAGUGUGAGAGGCAUAAACCACAUAGCACGCAUGUUACACAGAACAACAGCACAGAGGCAGAAAUGACGAACUCUGUCUGGGAGUGAGGAAAGUUUUAAGUUCUGUAGUGGAGGCGAUAUUCGAGCUGAUGUUGAAAGCGUCUCCAGCAACCGUUGCGUUCUUAGCAAAGUCCCUCAGGAACUGCGUCUGUCCUGUUCUCACUUUGAACUUUGUUCUUCGGAAGGUGUGUAGGGUCUGCUGACCCUCUUCGUGGGUUUUGGGCGGCUCCCUCCUCUUGCAGGGCUGUUGAGAUGGGCAACUCCUUGUACAAACCCUUCUUUAUUUUUGAAGUAAUCUGUGUAAUUAGCUCUUGUUGAGUGGAAGCCCCAGAAGACACGUCUACCCCGAAACUGCGCUUGAGCUUGUUUGGGAAAAGGGUCUUUGAAGGUUUCCAUAGACAACACUGAUUCAUUCAUAAAAGAAACAAAAAAAAAAAGGAAAUUUCAGAAUUAUAGGCUCCUUGGCAAGAGGAAAUUCACCCGUUGAGUUGUUGGACAAAUAAGUUUGACCAUCUAAUAAAAUCAGGUGUACAAUUUGUCCCAUAGUGAUAAUUCUGUCUGGGCAAUAUAAUAAAACUUAUAAAAAGUGGUUCCUUGUAUUUCUAAGGCAACUCACUUUAUAAAAGAAUUUUUAAAAAUAAAAUGUCAAUUGAUGUCGUUAAAUGUUUGUUAAUAAUUGACCGCUUGAGGAAUAUACUAGAAAGAAAAAAAUGUGAAAGCUUUACUCUUGGAAACAUAACCACUAAUCAGUUAAAAUGGAAUACUAUUUCAGUAUAAGAGAAGAGCUUAAAGGGGCAAACAUUUUAUAUAUACUUUAAAAAUACCUAUUAUACUAAAAGUAGCAAGAAGUCAUAUGAACACUUUUAAUGUGAUUUUUGUUCAUUUAUGUUCCUUGGGAAAACAUUCCUACAAAAAUUUUCAAAAUAAAAGGGAAUAAUUUAAUAUCAAUAGUUACAGGAACUAAUACUGCUGUUUAUAACAAAACUACUUUAGUAUUUUUUAAAAAAUACUGUGGUUAAAUGUUUUUUUCCUUGGUUUGCACACACCGAGAAAACUUGACCUAACUUUUUCAAAUUUAAUAGAUGUGAAUAGAAAUUAUAAUUAUGAAUCUGGACUCCUGUUUUUGCAUCUUUAUUACCUUACAAGUAAAUGAAAUAACACCCCCUUCUAACCAGUGGAGAUAAACAAUUUAGGAUUAGUUUUAAAAGUCUACUUAAUAAAGGCAAUUUUCUAGAGUAAAAGAAUUGUUCAUAAUUCCUCACAUUCCAGUUUAUAAAAUAAACUUUUUUCUGUUUGACAACCCAUAAAUAAGAGAUCUAUUUCAAAAUUACAUUUUUACUGGAGCCGCUCCUCAUUAAAACAACAAAUGGUCUCAUGAUCCCAGAGAAAGAACACGUUCAGCUUGUUCCUUGGGCUGCGUUUAGACUUAGGUAUGAGCCACUGAGAUUCCCCUCGAUUGCCUGUCCGUGUAACAGACCACAGCCUGCCCUCAAGAACGAUUUCCUUCUUGCUGUUACAGGUAAACUAGUAUUGAUAAGUUACCUCAGAAUUUUAUUUUGGAACCUAAGACCCUUACUAGGUUCUUUUAUUGGGAGGGGCACCUUAAAUAUCCCCUGUCUUCAGCGUGAUAUAGGUCAUGAGAAAAUCUGAUCCACUUCUUGCCCCAACCUAUAUUUUACUCUGUUGGGUUUUGUUUGUUUUAAUUUUUUAUUUUGAUUCACUUCUAAUUUUUUUCUCAAUGGUGAACUUGUAUGAUAUUCC